AUUUUUAUAUAGUACCAGUAUAAAAUUUUCUGCAGAACUUAAUUCAUCAAACCAAGUAAUGAGAAUAAAACUCAAUAACGUGUCAAAGUGACAAGUGGAAGAAAAAAAAUGACAACACAUAAGCUUCUGAAAAGAUGUUUUUGCUAAUUAUGCUUAGAAUACAUCAGAUAAAGUUAAUGUUAUUUUUUACUAAUUGACAAGCAUUGAUUUGAAUUGCAGUCACACGAGGUGAUAUAUAAUUUCAUUUUUUUUUCUUUUGUCAAGAUUAAUCUCUUUGCAAAGCAUAUUGGCAAAUUAGCUGAGCAAAUUGAAGCUGACAUCAGAUGUCCAAAAUAUUUUAGUCCCAGUGAGGCAGUUGAAUAUGGUGUCAUAGACAAGGUAAGUUCACGGCAGAAGGUAACAAGUAGCACCGCAGAAAUACGUGAGACUGUUGAAACAAGUUUUCUUUUACAGCGUAGGGCAAAGGAAGUAGUACCCUUACUUUGGAAAGACUAUUGGUAACGAUAGUGAGUACAAGGACAAGAAGAAGAAAUAUAUGUUGUUGGACAAUGAAUUUAAUGUUUUAUUUUAUUUGUAAUUUUUAUUAGAGUAAAUGAUUCUUUGUAAAUACUUUGUAUAAGUUUUGUUAUUUUAAUAUAUAA